rnacentral:misc_RNA from 1 species
AAGACUAUCAAGCCUGGCUUGGUCUUGGGUGAGGUCUAGGGACCCGCCCGCAACCCGUCGGCGGUGCCGGUUCGGCUCUGAGCGUAGCAAGACACUCGCUCGGGGGCCGCGGCGGUGCCCACCAGCAGAUUCCACCAUA